AGCAGUCGCCGCGGUAAUACAGAGGGUGCGAGCGUUAAUCGGAAUUACUGGGCGUAAAGGGCGCGUAGGCGGUUAGGAAGGUGUGAUGUGAAAGCCCUGGGCUUAACCUAGGAAGUGCAUCGCAAACCAACUAGCUGGAGUAUAGGAGAGGGUGGCGGAAUUUCCGGUGUAGCGGUGAAAUGCGUAGAGAUCGGAAGGAACGUCAAUGGCGAAGGCAGCCACCUGGCUUAAUACUGACGCUGAGGCGCGAAAGCGUGGGGAGCGAACAGGAUUAGAUACCCCGGUAGUCCCUGUCUCUUAUAC
rnacentral:rRNA from 1 species